rnacentral:misc_RNA from 1 species
AACUAUGAAGUAUAAAAUUGAACGAAAGCGAUAAAAAUUUAAAAAAAAAAAAAGAUGUUACAUAUAAAAACAAUUUUAGCCCUAAGUCAUUUGUGAAAUGCCUUCAUCCUACCAUCAGUGUUUCUUGAACACAGAAUUCUUUCCAGAUUUUAGCAAGAAGAGAUUACAAGAUGGGGGAUAUUAGCAACGAAGCGCCAAUAAUCUCCUUUCUCAUUUCUGCACCGUUUUUCCAGAAAGGGACACCUUAUGAUUUCCAAGGUUCCAAGUCUGGCAAGGUCCUCCGUUGGCAAUGAUUGGAUUUUAGGGCAACGGUAAAUCUGUAAAUCAUCAAGAGAUGUGAGGUUGUGAAGGCCUGCAGAUAUGGAUUUCAGAUUCUCAAAUUCACCGACUGCAAGAAAGGUUAGGGAAGAGGGAAGGAGUU